GACGAACGCUGGCGGCGUGCUUAACACAUGCAAGUCGAACGGAAAGGCCCCUUCGGGGGUACUCGAGUGGCGAACAGGUGAGUAACACGUGAGUAACCUGCCCUUGACUUCGGGAUAACUUCAGGAAACUGGGGCUAAUACCGGAUAGGAAUCCUUGCUGCAUGGUGGGGGUUGGAAAGCUUCGGCGGUUUUGGAUGGACUCGCGGCUUAUCAGCUUGUUGGUGGGGUAGUGGCUUACCAAGGCUUUGACGGGUAGCCGGCCUGAGAGGGCGACCGGCCACAUUGGGACUGAGAAACGGCCCAGACUCCUACGGGGGGCAGCAGUGGGGAAUAUUGCACAAUGGGCGGAAGCCGGAUGCAGCAACGCCGCGUGCGGGAUGACGGCCUUCGGGUUGGAAACCGCUUUCAGCAGGGGCGAAGCUUGUGGUGACGGUACCUGCAGAAGAAGCACCGGCUAACUACGUG
rnacentral:rRNA from 1 species